UAAGCAUACUGGAAAGUGUGCUUGGAGACAAAAUGUAGUUUAACUAAAACUUCUCGCUUACACCGAGACAAUAUCUAAUAAUAUAGAUCAUUUUGAACCUUAAACCUAGUUUUUUAUACAUAAUACUAACAACCUUAAAAAAAUAAAAAUAAAACAUUUUAAUGUCUAGUAAAGGCGAUUGAAAAACCACAUAAAACUAUAAAUAAAGUACCGAAAGGGAAUGGUGAAAUAAAAAUGAAAAAUGUUAAAGUACUAAAAAGCAGAGACCCAUCCUCGUACCUUUUGCAUCAUGGUCUAGCCAGUCAAAACAAGCAAAAAGUCACUAAAGUUUGUAAUCCCGAAACUAAGUGAGCUACUUCAAAACAGCCUUAUAGGGCCAACUCGUCUCUGUGGCAAAAGAGUGAGAAGAUUUUUAAGUAGAAGUGAAAAGCCUACCGAACUUAGAGAUAGCUGGUUAUUUGAGAAAAGAAUAUUAGUUCUGCCUUAAAUUUAAAAACAUCAAAACAACUAAAUAAUAAACUUAAGAGUUAUUCAAAUAAGGUACAGCCUAUUUGAUACAGGAAACAACCUAAAAACUAGGGUAAUGCUUAAUAAAUUAAUAACCAAGUUGGCUUGAAAGCAGCCACCUUUAAAAAAGCGUCAAAGCUUAACUAUAGGUAAUUUUAAUUCCCACUAAAACGCUAAACCCCACCCCACUACCAAAUAACUUUAUAAUUUUAUAAAACAUAUUAUGCUAGAACUAGUAAUAAGAAUGAGAACUUCUCCAAAAUAUAAGUGUAAUGCAGAACAAACCAUAACUGCUAACUAUUGUUCAUGAACUAAAAGUAAUAACCCUACCAGAAAACCUUACUUUUCUCAACAUUAACCUAACACAAGAAUAUUGCCGGAAAGAUUAAAAGAAGGGAAAGGAACUCGGCAAAUAAUCUAGCCUCGCCUGUUUACCAAAAACACCGCCUCUUGCUAAAACAUAAGAGGUCCCGCCUGCCCACUGACUAAGGGUUCAACGGCCGCGGUAUCUUAACCGUGCAAAGGUAGCACAAUAAAUUGUCUUCUAAAUAAAGACUAGUAUGAAUGGCACCACGAGGGCUUAACUGUCUCCCCCCUCUAAUCAAUGAAACUGAUCUCCCCGUGAAGAAGCGGGAAUAAAAAUAUAAGACGAGAAGACCCCAUGGAGCUUUAAACUCAUCACCAAUUACUUAAUAUUAAAUCACUAAAAAAGGUAAAAAUGUUCUUGAUAGUUUUCGGCUGGGGUGACCCUGGAGUAAAACAAACCCUCCAGAAUGAAAGGAAUAAAUCCUAACCCAAGAAUUACAAUUCUAAGAAUCAAAAACUUGACAUUAAUGAUCCAAUUACUUGAUCAACGAACCAAGUUACCCUGGGGAUAACAGCGCAAUCCAUUUCAAGAGCCCCUAUCGACAAAUGGGUUUACGACCUCGAUGUUGGAUCGGGGUAUCCUGGUGGCGCAGCCGCUACCAAAGGUUCGUUUGUUCAACGAUUAAUAACCCC
rnacentral:rRNA from 1 species